rnacentral:rRNA from 1 species
AACGCUGGCGGCGUGCCUAAUACAUGCAAGUAGAACGCUGAAGAGAGGAGCUUGCUCUUCUUGGAUGAGUUGCGAACGGGUGAGUAACGCGUAGGUAACCUGCCUUGUAGCGGGGGAUAACUAUUGGAAACGAUAGCUAAUACCGCAUAACAAUGGAUGACACAUGUCAUUUAUUUGAAAGGGGCAAUUGCUCCACUACAAGAUGGACCUGCGUUGUAUUAGCUAGUAGGUGAGGUAACGGCUCACCUAGGCGACGAUACAUAGCCGACCUGAGAGGGUGAUCGGCCACACUGGGACUGAGACACGGCCCAGACUCCUACGGGAGGCAGCAGUAGGGAAUCUUCGGCAAUGGGGGCAACCCUGACCGAGCAACGCCGCGUGAGUGAAGAAGGUUUUCGGAUCGUAAAGCUCUGUUGUAAGUCAAGAACGAGUGUGAGAGUGGAAAGUUCACACUGUGACGGUAGCUUACCAGAAAGGGACGGCUAACUACGUGCCAGCAGCCGCGGUAAUACGUAGGUCCCGAGCGUUGUCCGGAUUUAUUGGGCGUAAAGCGAGCGCAGGCGGUUUGAUAAGUCUGAAGUUAGAGGCUGUGGCUCAACCAUAGUUCGCUUUGGAAACUGUCAAACUUGAGUGCAGAAGGGGGGAGUGGAAUUCCAUGUGUAGCGGUGAAAUGCGUAGAUAUAUGGAGGAACACCGGUGGCGAAAGCGGCUCUCUGGUCUGUAACUGACGCUGAGGCUCGAAAGCGUGGGGAGCGAACAGGAUUAGAUACCCUGGUAGUCCACGCCGUAAACGAUGAGUGCUAGGUGUUGGAUCCUUUCCGGGAUUCAGUGCCGCAGCUAACGCAUUAAGCACUCCGCCUGGGGAGUACGACCGCAAGGUUGAAACUCAAAGGAAUUGACGGGGGCCCGCACAAGCGGUGGAGCAUGUGGUUUAAUUCGAAGCAACGCGAAGAACCUUACCAGGUCUUGACAUCCCGAUGCUAUUUCUAGAGAUAGGAAGUUACUUCGGUACAUCGGUGACAGGUGGUGCAUGGUUGUCGUCAGCUCGUGUCGUGAGAUGUUGGGUUAAGUCCCGCAACGAGCGCAACCCCUAUUGUUAGUUGCCAUCAUUCAGUUGGGCACUCUAGCGAGACUGCCGGUAAUAAACCGGAGGAAGGUGGGGAUGACGUCAAAUCAUCAUGCCCCUUAUGACCUGGGCUACACACGUGCUACAAUGGUUGGUACAACGAGUUGCGAGUCGGUGACGGCAAGCUAAUCUCUUAAAGCCAAUCUCAGUUCGGAUUGUAGGCUGCAACUCGCCUACAUGAAGUCGGAAUCGCUAGUAAUCGCGGAUCAGCACGCCGCGGUGAAUACGUUCCCGGGCCUUGUACACACCGCCCGUCACACCACGAGAGUUUGUAACACCCGAAGUCGGUGAGGUAACCUUUUGGAGCCAGCCGCCUAAGGUGGGAUAGAUAA